rnacentral:rRNA from 1 species
CCUACGGGUGGCAGCAGUGAGGAAUAUUGGUCAAUGGGCGAAAGCCUGAACCAGCCAAGUCGCGUGAGGGAUGAAGGUUCUAUGGAUCGUCAACCUCUUUUAUAAAGGAAUAAAGUGAGGGACGUGUCCUAUUUUGUAUGUACCUUAUGAAUAAGGAUCGGCUAACUCCGUGCCAGCAGCCGCGGUAAUACGGAGGAUCCGAGCGUUAUCCGGAUUGAUUGGGUUUAAAGGGAGCGUAGAUGGGUUUUUAAGUCAGUGGUGAAAGUUUGUGGCUCAACCGUAAAAUUGCAGUUGAAACUGGGGGUCUUGAGUACGUUUGAGGCAGGCGGAAUUCGUGGUGUAGCGGUGAAAUGCUUAGAUAUCACGCAGAACCCCGAUUGCGAAGGCAGCUUGCUAAGCUAUGACUGACGCUGAUGCUCGAAAGCGUGGGUAUCAAACAGGAUUAGAUACCCCUGUAGUC